rnacentral:tmRNA from 1 species
GGGGGUGAAUUAGUUUCGACGUGGGUAGGAAUGGCAUCAGAAGCGAGCCGAGGUCCCCAAUGCCUCGUUAAACGUGGGAUUUGAAUUAACUGCAAACAAUAAUUACGCUUUAGCUGCUUAGUACGGCUAACGCCCCUUAGUUCUCUGCCUGUUAGAACUAAGAACGGCGUCAAACUUUCAGGCUACCCUCUAAGCACUGCCUGGAGCUUUUAGGGGAAAUAUACAGGCUGGUUAGUUCAUCAGCUGGCUGCAGAGCAGAUGGACUAACGAGAAUUUAAUCUGCAGCUGCGCUCGGAGAUGCUGGUGUGGUUUCACUUACGGACAGCGGUGCAACUCCGCUCACCUCCACCA